CCCUUCUCUACGGAAUAGCCUCGGGAAACUGAGAGUAAUACCGUAUACGCCCUUUGGGGGAAAGAUUUAUCGGAGAAGGAUCGGCCCGCGUUAGAUUAGAUAGUUGGUGGGGUAAUGGCCUACCAAGUCUACGAUCUAUAGCUGGUUUUAGAGGAUGAUCAGCAACACUGGGACUGAGACACGGCCCAGACUCCUACGGGAGGCAGCAGUGGGGAAUCUUAGACAAUGGGCGCAAGCCUGAUCUAGCCAUGCCGCGUGUGUGAUGAAGGCCCUAGGGUCGUAAAGCACUUUCGCCAGGGAUGAUAAUGACAGUACCUGGUAAAGAAACCCCGGCUAACUCCGUGCCAGCAGCCGCGGUAAUACGGAGGGGGUUAGCGUUGUUCGGAAUUACUGGGCGUAAAGCGCGCGUAGGCGGAUCAGAAAGUAUGGGGUGAAAUCCCGGGGCUCAACCUCGGAACUGCCUCAUAAACUACUGGUCUAGAGUUCGAGAGAGGUGAGUGGAAUUCCGAGUGUAGAGGUGAAAUUCGUAGAUAUUCGGAGGAACACCAGUGGCGAAGGCGGCUCACUGGCUCGAUACUGACGCUGAGGUGCGAAAGUGUGGGGAGCAAACAGGAUUAGAUACCCUGGUAUCCACACCGUAAACGAUGAAUGCCAGUCGUCGGCAAGCAUGCUUGUCGGUGACACAC
rnacentral:rRNA from 1 species